GUAGCCGGUUUGGUACAUUCGUGGGUAAAUCAACCAGCUUAACUGGUUGAAUUCUGCGAGGACGGCCAGACUUGGGACCGGGAGAGGUGUGGGGUACUCUCAGGGUAGGGGUAAAAUCCUGUCAUCCUGAGAGGACCACCUGUUGCGAAGGCGCCACACUAGAACGGAUCCGACGGUCAGGGACGAAGCCUAGGGGCACGAACCGGAUUAGAUACCCGGGUAGUCCUAGGUGUAAACGCUGUGGACUUGGUGUUGGGGAUCCUCCGAGGAUCCUCAGUGCCGGAGCGAAGAUGUUAAGUCCACUGCCUGGGGAGUACGGUCGCAAGGCUGAAACUUAAAGGAAUUGGCGGGGG
rnacentral:rRNA from 1 species